rnacentral:tRNA from 3 species
GGAGGGGUGGCAGAGUGGUCGAUUGCGUCUGAUUCGAAAUCAGAUGAACCGCAAGGUUCCGGGGGUUCGAAUCCCUUCCCCUCCGCCA